rnacentral:rRNA from 1 species
AUUGAACGCUGGCGGCAGGCCUAACACAUGCAAGUCGAGCGAGCGGCGGACGGGUGAGCAAUGUCUGGGUAACUGCCCGAUGGAGGGGGAUAACUACUGGAAACGGUAGCUAAUACCGCAUACCAUCGGAGGUGCCCAGAUGGGAUGAGCUAGUAGGUGGGGUAAAGGCUCACCUAGGCGACGAUCCCUAGCUGGGCUGAGAGGAUGACCAGCCACACUGGAACUGAGACACGGUCCAGACUCCUACGGGAGGCAGCAGUGGGGAAUAUUGCACAAUGGGCGCAAGCCUGAUGCAGCCAUGCCGCGUGUAUGAAGAAGGCCUUCGGGUUGUAAAGUACUUUCAGCGGGGAGGCGUUACCCGCAGAAGAAGCACCGGCUAACUCCGGGCCAGCAGCCGCGGUAAUAC